AUGGUGAAGAUUGUGCUCAAGGUAGACAUAUCUGCUGAGGGGGCCAAGGCCAGAGCAUUUAGCAUGGUUGCCAAGAUCCCCGGGGUGAAGUCGAUCGCAGCGGACAUGGAGAAGGGGACGCUGACGGUGGUGGGGGAGGUGGACGUGGUCUGCGUGGUGUACGCACUGCGGAAGGCCAAGUUCAAUGCCCAUGUUAUCACCGUCGGGGAUGACAAGAUGGAAGAGCGGAGCAAGAUUCCGCCAGCAAGAAAUAAAGGGGAACCGUUGAAGAUUCCGCCCGCAAAAAAAGAGGAGCCGAAGAAGUUUCAGCCGGACCCGUCCGACGGCUACCAGGAGACCAGCAGCAUGGAUCUGCUGCUCCUGCCUUGGAAUAGUGUUUCUCUUGGUGCCAUGGUCUCAAUUUUUAGGAAGCUCGCGGGUACUGGACAUAAGACCGAAAUCAAGAAACUCACAACCAGGCUGCUCAAACUCUCAAGGACACAGGAUCCGCCUGUUACAGCGCGGAUCUGGAUGAAGGAUGUACGGGAACUAUCCUAUGACAUGGACAACUGUGUUGCCGCCGAAGAGGAUUGGAUCGGUAAGUUGUCAGGAUUCAUGGAUAGAAUGAGGGAGGCCAAUGGACGGUACGACACAUACAAGCUUGGGAGCGUCCCCAGCCGCCGUAUGGAUAUCGUCUCGAUCCCAGCGGUGGUCCGCGGCCAGAAGCCAGCAGAUCCAGUCGUCGGCCUACAUGCCAAGGGCGGCGCCGUCGAAACGCUCUGCAACUUGCUGACUGAUGGAGAUGAGCAGCUCAAGGUGCUAUCCAUUGUCGGUGUUGCAGGAAUCGGGAAGACCACGCUUGCCAAGCAGCUCUGGCGUGAGCGCAUGUUCCAGGGAUUCGACUGCCGGGCUUUUGUGCGGAUGGCCAAGAAACCUGACAUGAGGAGGAUUCUAAGGAGCUUACUUGCGCAAGUUCGUCCGCACCAACCACCCGACGCUAGUGACGUGCACGACCUCAUUCACGACCUCACCGAGCAUCUACAGAAUAAAAGGUACUUUCUUAUAAUUGAUGACUUAUGGGCUACAUCAGUAUGGGAUGUUGCUACCUGUGCUUUCCCGGAGGGUAAUCAUGGAAGCAGGAUAAUAACAACAACGGAAAUUGAGGAUGUUGCUCUAGCAAGCUGCAGUUAUCAGUCCAAGUACAUAUUUAAGAUGGAACCCCUCAGUGUCAGUCACUCAAAGGAGUUGUUCACCAGUGCAGUGUUUGGCUCUGGAAAAGAGAAAUCUCGCGAAUUGGAUUUAGUGUCAGAUGAGAUUAUAAGAAGAUGUGAUGGUUUACCACAGGCAAUUAUCAGCAUAUCCAGUGUUCUAGCAAGCCAUGGAGAGGCAAAUACAGUCGAGAACUGGGAGCAAAUACAGAACAGUUUGCCAACAAAUACAACUUCUGACGAGAUACUGAAACAAGUACUGUAUUUUUGCUAUGAUAGUCUUCCCAUUUGUGUUCAGGCAUGUCUGUUGUAUCUUGGUAUAUAUCCAGAAAACUACAUUAUCUUAACGGAAGAUAUAGCGAAGCAAUGGGUAGCUGAAGGCUUUAUCAGUGCACCAACUGAGAAACUAAAAAUGAUAGUUGCCCACAGCUAUUUUGAUAAGCUUGUCAAGAUGGGUAUGAUCCAACAGAUAGAUGCGAACUACAGUGAUGAGGUAUUGUACUAUGCAGUGCAUCACAUGGUACACGAUUUUAUUACAUCUAAGUGCAAAGAAGAGAAUUUUAUCAGUGUAAUAGAUUAUUCUCAAAGGACAGUGAGGUUUUCUAACAAGGUUAGUCGUAUGUCCCUCCAGUUUGGCAGUGCAACAUAUGCAACCACACCACCAAGUAUCGGGCUUUCGCAAGUCCGAUCACUUGCUUAUACUGGACUAACCAGCUGCUUGCCGCCCAAUUACAUCUCAGAGUUUAAGCUUCUUCGAGUACUGAUUCUCCAUAUUUGGGCUGAUCAACCAAGCACAGGUGUCGCCCUCGAGUGUAUCUCUGCAUUGCUUCUGUUGAGAUAUUUGCAGGCGACAUGCAACUGCACCGUGCAUCUUCCAGAACAGAUGCAACGUCUGAAACACUUGGAAACACUUGAAAUAAAUGCAAGAGUGGAAGCCAUUCCAUCAGAUAUCGUUCAUCUUCAGAGCUUGUUGCAUCUCCGUCUAGGAGGUGGGACACAACUGCCUUAUGUGACUGGUAUCCUAAAAAAUGUCACGCUGAAUCCUGCUAUUUCAAUGGAUGAGUCAAGCAGUCCUCCCGAUACAGUGAUGACAAUCGAGAUAUUGAUCCCCAUUUUUAGAACCCCGAAGCGGAUUGGACAGCUUACCAAACUCCGCAGUUUGAAAAUUGUUGUCAGAGAACUGCUAAGGAGUGAUAUCAGUAACCUCCAAGGAUUGCCAUCCCUCACUGUGCUCUCAUUGCACGUCCUGCGGCAAACUACAGAACUAAUCGGCUUCGCAAGUGGAGUAUUUCGUGCUCUCGUGUAUUUUGAGUUCAGGUGUGGCGUACUGCGCCUGAUUUUUCAGGAAGGGACAAUGCCUAACCUUCAGAGGCUCACGCUAGGUUUCAAUGCCCACAGAGGAGAACAGUAUGGUGCUUCGCUUCUCGGCAUUGAAGAUAUGUUAAGCGUCCAGAAGAUUUAUGGAAUGAUUGGGUCAGCAACCGGUGCUGAGGAACGUGACUUGAAGGCCGCAGAGUCUGCAUUCAAGAAAGCCAUGGGCAAGCACCCUAACGUCAGGGUAAAAAGAAUCGAUGUGGUUGAUGAAGAGUAUGGUCCGUCAGAAAAAGAGCAGACGGAAACGACCCAAGAGGAAGAUGCACCAAGUCAUGUAAGCAGUGAACAACCGGCAAUUCCGAAACAAGAGUCCAAGGAAGAUGCAAAGCAAAAUGACCCUUAUUCCAUUCAAAGGAGAACCAAUAGAAAGGAUGUCGCAAAUGUGGCGCAAGGUUACUCAGACAACCUAGAACUUGUCAGUGGUGCACGUGGAGAAGUUAACCUGAUGGAAGAAGAACGUAAGAAUAGCCUGGGGAGAGGCAACAGCAGCAUGGUUUUCACACUAAAUUUGAUCGAAACUAUUACAAAUGAUUUUUCAGAUGAUCAGAGAGUUGGCAGUGGUGGGCAUGGAGAUGUUUACAAGGCGAUAUAUAAAGGGCUAGAGAUUGCUGUGAAGAAGCUCCGUCCCUUGCAAGGACUUGAUGAUAAGCAAUUUCAAAAUGAAUUAUAUGACCUUACCAAGGUAUGCCACCAAAAUAUUGUGCGGUUAAUUGGCUAUUGCUACGAAUCUCGGCAUAAAUACAUCAAGCACAAUGGGGAGACUAUUUGGGCGAAAUCAAUGGAGAGGGUUCUCUGCUUUGAAUAUAUUCAGGGUGAAAGCCUCGAAAAACAUAUUGCAGAUGGAUCUUGUGAACUUGGCUGGCCCAUGUGUUAUAACAUCAUCAGGGGGACUUGUGAGGGCUUAAAUCACCUUCAUAGUGCUCCGGACAAACCUAUUCUCCAUCUAAAUUUGAAGCCUGCUAAUAUACUCCUAGAUAAGAGCAUGAUGCCCAAAAUUGCAGAUCUUGGUUUGUCACGGGUUUUUGCUUCAUCAGAAACACAUCAAACAGAGAUUGUCAAUGGAACAAACGAAUACAUGCCACCAGAAUACUUAGACGAUCGCUUUAUCUCAAAGAAGUUUGACGUGUUCAGUUUUGGUGUCAUAAUUCUAAAGAUGGUGGCAGGAAAUACUGGAUAUUUCCAUUGUUCUGACAUGUCUCCCAAGGAGUUUAUUAAGAUCGUAAGUGAAAAAUGGACCAAAAGGUUGCAGGCAAUGCCUGGCUCAUACUCGUCACAUGAAGUAGACAUCAUACGAGUGACUACGUGCGUUGAGAUUGCACUAAGGUGUGUCGACAAUGACCGGGAUAAAAGACCUCGGAUUAAGGAUAUUGUCCAUGAACUAGAGGAACUAGAAGUUGAGAUAGAGAAAAUGUCAAUACAUGAACUACAUAACCUAACUUUACAGGAAAACCUUGAAACACAGACGAGGGAGGUAGAAGAAAAAAGGGUCAGAAAAGAACUGAUGAUGGCUGAGAAUUGCUUUGGUGAAGUAGUGGACAACUACAAGUUGAAUAAAAUGACGAGGUACAUGGGUAAACCAAAGACGCAGGAAGACCGAGCACGAGAGGCCCUGAAUCAGGUGAACGAGGAUGAUAAGGAAGGCAAGGCGUCAAGUUAUGUGGAUGAUCUCAAGAGAAUGCACGGCGGCCUAGUGUCCACGUCGUGCCUCGUAUAUAACGCGACAGGCGACACACUGUACCAAGUUGACUACCACGACUGGCAUGGCCACAUUGGCAGCCCUCCCUGCCCUGCUCGGAUAGGCAACGGCCAGUGGGCAGCAUUCCAUCACGUCAAAGCUGCCUGCGAGACAUCUGGUUCGGCAGCGGCCGUUGUCUACCGCAGCAAGAAUAGAGAUGGCCAGGACCGGGAAUAUCUGGUUGCCUGGAGUACCCCGUGGGGUCCCUUUUCCUCUACUAAUAAGGCUUAUUGCGAGAUCGGCGGAGUCGAUAGCUUCAAGAAUAGCUGGGACAGUAUUUACCACAAAAUGAGCAAUUCAGGUUUCUCUGCAAAAGCCACAUCUGACGGGUGCGAUAUUGAAGUGAAAAUUGGCGGAGGUGCUAGUGCUCCAUUUAUUUCAAGAAUCACCAUGCGCUGA
rnacentral:rRNA from 1 species